CCGCCCAAUGCGCCGCCUACACCGGCUUCGGUGGUGCCACCGGCCAUGGCUGCGCCACUGACCAGGCCAAGGGACAACAAGAGAAUCGAGGAGAACUUCAUAGGUGAACCUCAAGGGGAUGACGGCGCGAUCCUGAGGUUGUCGGAAUAUUCUUACAAUCGAAUUCCGACCAGUGGUGCAGGUUGUAUACAAUUAGCUAAGUUACUGUUUUAUCUAGGGAACUUAAGUCGUUUUUGCCGGUCUUUAGCUACUUCGGGAAGGCCGCUUUUAUACAAAAGCGGCCUUUUUUGUGCCCGUAAAAAUCGUUCCCAGACAUGGAGACGAUCAGGCGGUCCGGGCCAUGAUCAGACCAUUGUCGCUGGCCGCUUCCAGGCGAAUCGCCACGAA
rnacentral:sRNA from 1 species